UGGCUCCCUUGAGCGGUGUCACCCGACAGAUUGCAGUAUGAUUGUCAUUGCUGUGUUGAAGUUACCCACCCUGAACUCAUGCUGGGUAUCCUCAGUCAGGGCAUCGUUCUGUUUGUUUCUACUUUGUGCACAUAACUGGUACCUUUUCUUUUCCCUGCCCUGUCUCGUCACUUAUAAUAUAAAGGGAGUUAAUCCAGCCACUUGUAUAUCCUGAGUCCUUUUUGUGUAUCCAGCACUUUGUAAAUUUACUAUAGGCAUUCAUUCAUCCUCUUCCUCAUUCAAUCCACAAAUAUUGAAUAUCCACAACUGGCAGGAUAACAGCCAGUUGCUUUGAACAAAGAGUUUCUUUCUAAGCCCAUGAAUGUGACUAUGCCUAGCACAGUGCCUGGCACACUGAGGUGCCCAGUGCAUUUAUAAAAAGCAACUCUCAGGGUUCUUGACGGAGCUGUGUCAUACUGAAGCCCCCUGGCCUAGAUAGAUUCGCCUGGAUGAAACACUUCCCUGCCUUCUUAAACAGAAUGCAUUGAAUUUACUUUCAUCUUUUCCUGAUGCCUCCAAGCCAUCAUUUUGAACAUCAGUGCUGCAGUAGGAUGAUGUGUUGCUUCUGUUUUAUUGAGGUAUACCAGUUCUUUGCCCUUAACGUUAAAUCAGCCUGAGUGUUGUCUUUGUGAGCCCUUGUGUUUGAUUUCUGUAGUUUGCCUCCUUCCCAGCAGUGAAACUGAGGAUGCUUAUUUUUUAUUCCAUCAGUGAAUCUUUGUGAUAACAAGCAUCUUACAUUUAUUUAGCAGUUUUCAUGUGCAUUAUUUUAUUUAAGCCUUAUAUCAGCUCUGCAAGGCAGAUAGGAUCAUUUCCAAUUUGCUGAUUAAAAGAGAAAAAACAAACAAGCAAGCAACAGACUGAAGCUUUCAAGAGCUCAGCAACCUGCCAAAGAUACAUGGCUAGAAGGAAGACACUGGGAUUCAGGACUGGGUGUCCUGAUUCUAGGCUGGGACUCUUUCUGUGCCAACAUCCUUCUUCCCUUUAGCAACUCCCAACCUUCUUUCUAGUUUGGUACUGGUAAUCUGCCACAAAGCUUGUUAAAAUUGGGCGCAAAAUGACCAGGUGAAGGUUUAAGAGUCUCUCCUUUGGAGACAGUGUUUGAGAUUUAGUGCCUGGGUUUUGUGGCCUCUCUCUAUUUGGCUGUUCACAACCUUUUUCUUCUCUCUGUCUGAAGUGUAAGCAAGGAGGAAGGGUAACAGAUCGAAUUGCCAGAUUUAACAAAAAACAAAACAAAGAAACAACAGAACAAAACCAAACACAAGAUGCCCAGCUGGAUUUGAAUUUCAGAUAGACAACAAAUAAUUUUUUGGGCAUUUGCAUUACAAAUCCA
rnacentral:lncRNA from 1 species